rnacentral:rRNA from 1 species
ACGGGUGAAGAUAAGACGGAUUAGCGGCGGACGGGUGAGUAACACGUGAGUAACCUGCCUUUUACACAGGGAUAGCCUCGGGAAACCGGGAUUAAAACCUGAUGAAACUAUCAAAUCACAUGAUUAAGAAAGUUAAAACUCCGGUGGUAAAAGAUGGACUCGCGUCCCAUUAGCUAGUUGGUGAAGGUAACGGCCCACCAAGGCAACGACGGGUAGCCGGCCUGAGAGGGUGAACGGCCACAUUGGAACUGAGAAACGGUCCAAACUCCUACGGGAGGCAGCAGAC